GGGUGCUAACGUCCGUCGUGAAGAGGGAAACAACCCAGACCGCCAGCUAAGGUCCCAAAGUCAUGGUUAAGUGGGAAACGAUGUGGGAAGGCCCAGACAGCCAGGAUGUUGGCUUAGAAGCAGCCAUCAUUUAAAGAAAGCGUAAUAGCUCACUGGUCGAGUCGGCCUGCGCGGAAGAUGUAACGGGGCUAAACCAUGCACCGAAGCUGCGGCAGCGACGCUUAUGCGUUGUUGGGUAGGGGAGCGUUCUGUAAGCCUGCGAAGGUGGCCUGUGAGGGUUGCUGGAGGUAUCAGAAGUGCGAAUGCUGACAUAAGUAACGAUAAAGCGGGUGAAAAGCCCGCUCGCCGGAAGACCAAGGGUUCCUGUCCAACGUUAAUCGGGGCAGGGUGAGUCGACCCCUAAGGCGAGGCCGAAAGGCGUAGUCGAUGGGAAACGGGUUAAUAUUCCCGUACUUGGUGUUACUGCGAAGGGGGGACGGAGAAGGCUAUGUUGGCCGGGCGACGGUU
rnacentral:rRNA from 1 species